AACGAACGCUGGCGGCAUGCCUAACACAUGCAAGUCGAACGAGACCUUCGGGUCUAGUGGCGCACGGGUGCGUAACGCGUGGGAACCUGCCCUUAGGUUCGGAAUAACUCAGAGAAAUUUGAGCUAAUACCGGAUAAUGUCUUCGGACCAAAGAUUUAUCGCCUUUGGAUGGGCCCGCGUAGGAUUAGCUUGUUGGUGGGGUAGUGGCCUACCAAGGCGACGAUCCUUAGCUGGUCUGAGAGGAUGAUCAGCCACACUGGGACUGAGACACGGCCCAGACUCCUACGGGAGGCAGCAGUGGGGAAUAUUGGACAAUGGGCGAAAGCCUGAUCCAGCAAUGCCGCGUGAGUGAUGAAGGCCUUAGGGUUGUAAAGCUCUUUUACCAGGGAUGAUAAUGACAGUACCUGGAGAAUAAGCUCCGGCUAACUUCGUGCCAGCCGCCGCCGUAACAC
rnacentral:rRNA from 1 species